AUCAUAAUCAUUCCAUUGUUGUUGGGUAUUUGUUGGCUUCUACAUUGUGCUCUGUGCAUUGGUUUGUUGUUCAGGAAAUUCAUAAUUUUGGUAAAUUUCCCAGAAUUUCUUGUUUAGGUUCUAAGGUUUUUAAGACUAGUUCUGUUGUGUAUGCUUGUUGGAGUCCACAUGUACCCGCGGAGAGUGUAGUUUUGUUAGAAAGUGGUGCUUUGUUCUUGUUUGAUUUGGAGUCUUGUUUUAGAAGAAGUAGGACUUCCAACUCUAGUGCGCAUUUUAGAGGGACUAAGUUGCCUGUAUCGUGGGAUGCUGAUUCUGAUUCGGGGAAUUGUAAAUGGUUGAGCUGUGAAAUCAGUUGGCAUCCUAGGAUUUUGAUUGUUGCCCGGUUUGAUGUUGUUUUCUUGGUCGAUUUGAGGUUUGGUGGGUGUGCUGUGAGUUGUUUAGCAAAGGUUGAGAUGUUGAGGAUGUAUACUUCGGUUCAAAAUGAAUGGUUCCUUACGUUUACAAUGGCGGGAUUUGAUGAUUUCUGUUUUGCAUUGGCCUCGGAUAGUUUGUUGGUUCUUUGUGAUGUGCGGAAACCAAUGAUGCCGUUGUUGCAAUGGGCUCACAGUCUUGAUAAUCCGUGCCAUAUUAAUGUAUUUAGAUUGUCGGAAUUCAAACUCGAGGGAUGAUACAUAUAGGUGGGCUUUUGAAUCAGGUUUUACAUUGAUAAGACUUACGUCAUCAGGGAAGCUUGAAUCACAAAACUAUUGUGCCUCAUGGAAGUUGAAAGAACUUCACACAAAACGGUUCCAUUUUAAAGAUAAUUCCUUGUAUAUUAUGGACGAUGAGGACUAAAAUUUCCUAGAAGAUUUAAGUCCGUGAAACUUGAUAAACUCUCUGCAUAUUUGAAUGGUAGUUUAAGUGAAAUCCUGGUUUCAAAAUUGAAAAAGCCUUGCAAGGGUCCUCGAGCAACGGAAUCUUUUAGCUCAGAACCUCAUGAAAUCUUGUGUGAGAAGUUGAAGGCUUGUGGGUUCGGUCAAUUGAGAUUGUCUCCUGUAGUUUCUGUUGUUUUUAAUGACAUCAGCUCGCCAGCAAGCAUGCAUGAGGUUGCUUUGAGGAGGUUGUAGGCGGGCCUGCCAAUGGAACUCUUACAACUGGCCUAUUCCAACUACUCAGAGUUCCUUGAGGUACUUUUGCACCAGAAAAAAGUAUCUUUGGAAUUUCUAGUUGUCCCUCACCUACCUCAAUUGCCUCCUUUCUUCCUAAGAAGGCCUUCAAAUGGCCUUGUCAGAUUCUAGUUGUGAGCUUCAUGGUGACCAAGUUGUCUCCCUUGCUGAUGAAAGAGAAGAUAUGUGGGGCAAUUCUCGAAAACCAAAACCUUUUUGUAUAUACCAUCCAGUUGCAUUUAAGUGCUCUACCAUGGAUCACCUACAGGACAAUGUCUUUAAGGAUGAGAAAUUUAAUAACUGAUUUUUAAAGUGCUUGACAAGAAGCAUGUUCCUAAUGGCUUGGUGGAAACCGUUGGACCAUAACUAUUUGAUGAUCUCUGCCCCGCUAAUUUGAGAUUUGAUACUUCUGCCAAGAACUUCGAGCCAAAUGAAUUAAAGAUAUACAAAGUUUUGAAGAAGAAAUUGUCUAAAUGGGAAGACGGAUUUAAUUUUAUCAGCAAUUUUGCAUAGAGUCUAAAUUCCAAAAGCAAUUGGCAUGACAGUUAGAUUUUCAGGUGUUGACUCGUGAGGGAACAAGAUUGUCUAUGAUCUAUGUACACAAUUUUAGAUCAUAGACAAUUUUACCGAGUGGGUCCAAGACCUCUUCUUCUUCUAGAGAUGAAUUUGUUGAAGAUGUUACAACUGUUACUUUGAAUGGCCAUAAUGAGUGUCUAAAUGUGCUACCCCAGAUACCUCAACCAAAUCUCUUCCAAAUUCAGAUGAUUUAGACCUACAGGACACCCACAUUGCAGUUUCAAGUCAAGUAGAAUCAAGGUCUACCAGAGUAUUAUCUACGACGGAUGAGGAAGAACAAGAUCAAAGAACUAACCUCAUCAGGGGGGUCACAGAUUCACUUGAGGAAGCAAAUGACUCAAAUGAGCAUGAUACUAACACAACCACUCACAAGGACAUUGGGGAAGAUACAAUUGAUGCAGAUGACUAGGCUAACCAGUCAUCAGAUAAUGCCUCUCAAAAUACUCAAAAUAUGGACCCUUCGAAGCAUGCUUUCCACAUUGUUACUGAUAGGCUAAAUUACGCUACAAUGAGGAUGUGGUUUUUGGUAAAUCCACCAGGC